GGGCGAUUAGCUCAGUUGGUUAGAGCGUCUGUUUUACACGCAGAAUGUCGUAGGUUCGAAUCCUACAUCGCCCACCA
rnacentral:tRNA from 1 species